UACGUAGGGUGCAAGCGUUGUCCGGAAUUAUUGGGCGUAAAGAGCUCGUAGGCGGUCUGUCGCGUCUGCUGUGAAAACUCAGGGCUUAACCCUGAGCUUGCAGUGGGUACGGGCAGACUAGAGUGCGGUAGGGGAGACUGGAAUUCCUGGUGUAGCGGUGAAAUGCGCAGAUAUCAGGAGGAACACCGGUGGGCGAAGGCGGGUCUCUGGGCCGUAACUGACGCUGGAGGAGC
rnacentral:rRNA from 1 species